rnacentral:rRNA from 1 species
CUACGUAUGGGUGGGCACUCUAAGGAGACUGCCGGUGACAAACCGGAGGAAGGUGGGGAUGACGUCAAGUCAUCAUGGCCCUUACGGCCUGGGCUACACACGUGCUACAAUGGUCGGUACAAAGGGGUUGCCAAGCCGCGAGGUGGAGCUAAUCCCAUAAAACCGAUCGUAGUCCGGAUCGCAGUCUGCAACUCGACUGCGUGAAGUCGGAAUCGCUAGUAAUCGUGAAUCAGAAUGUCACGGUGAAUACGUUCCCGGGCCUU